rnacentral:rRNA from 1 species
CAGCAGCCGCGGUAAAACGUAGGGUGCAAGCGUUAAUCGGAAUUACUGGGCGUAAAGCGUGCGCAGGCGGUUAUAUAAGACAGAUGUGAAAUCCCCGGGAUCAACCUGGGAACUGCAUUUGUGACUGUAUAGCUAGAGUACGGCAGAGGGGGAUGGAAUUCCGCGUGUAGCAGUGAAAUGCGUAGAUAUGCGGAGGAACACCGAUGGCGAAGGCAAUCCCCUGGGCCUGUACUGACGCUCAUGCACGAAAGCGUGGGGAGCAAACAGGAUUAGAUACCCCCGUAGUCCCUGUCUCUUAUAC